AGCAAAAACCUGAUUGUUAAUUCAAUGUUGAAAUAAUUAUUCGUUUUUCUGAAAAACGGUAAGAGACCGUCAGAAAAAUAGUUCAGAUUCGUAAUCUAGGACUUCAAAAUAGGGUGUCUACCAAUAUUGGUGCAAAUGGGAACUAUUUUUAGUUUUUCCAAUAAUUACCUCAAGUAAUUUUGAUUUUUAUGUACAGAUUAUAAAUAUGUCCGCUACACAACCCAAAGAAAAAUCGGCUGUUCGAACUCUCCAGCUGUUGUUUGAUACAUCACAUGAGAACCCAUGUACGUCAUCGUGUAAGGAAUCUGCUUCCAUCAUCAAAGAGAAGUAGUUUACCGAAAAUAGAAUUCAAAUGUGAAAUUUGCGAUUUUCAUUCCUUUCAUCGUUAUAUAAUAUGUUAUCACUAUGAACAAGAGCAUGAGUUGAUCUGCAGAUUUGAAGAGGAUCCAGACUAUGAGCAAUUCUUGAACGGUACUCCAUAUACUUUAGAGAACCCAAAUUGGAAACCAGAUGGUAUUGAAGAUAAAAGUGAAAAACCCUUAGAGAAACAGAUAGAUAUAGAGGAACCCUACGACUUUUAAUUAACAUUAGUUAGGUUAGAAAUGAGCUAAAUGUGUGAUUCGUAAGAAAAAUAGGAGUAUCUAUGUUAGUAGCAUAUUUGUUAUUUUAUAUGCAACACCCAGUUAAUAUUACAUUACUGUAAAUAUUUUUAAUUUUCACAAUUUUUUUAUUAUACUUUUCUAUAUCUAUUCUUUUGCCUAAUCACAUUAAUUAUGAAAGAAUUACUAUACUAUAUUCUUAAGAAUAUUCAAAGUACCAUAUGAUCGAAAAAAAAACGGCGCCCAGUUGGCUUGGAAAUGACAAUCGAUGACAUUUCCCAUAUAAUCUAUAUUAAUAUAUAAAAUCCUUAAGU